rnacentral:misc_RNA from 1 species
AAAUGCUUUCUUCAACGAAGAUCUCCAUACAGAUAUGUUACUCCUGAUCUCUUUGUUGAGUUCAACCCAUUCAGGUGCACAUCCAUUCUUGGACAAGAUCCGGUACAAUGUGUCUUCUGCUGGAUCAGCAUGAGGAUUAGUAGACAGGUUCAGAGGUUUCCCCUUUCCUGGUAAGUUCUCGAAUUUCCCUUCUUCCAUGGAAUUCCAA